ACAUCCCUGGUUUCUCCCUGUAACAAUAUCCUGGUGCUGCCCGAGUGUUUCUCACAGACUCCAGCAUCAGUGAUUUUGUUGCAGGGGG
rnacentral:pre_miRNA from 1 species